rnacentral:rRNA from 1 species
CCUACGGGAGGCAGCAGUGGGGAAUAUUGCACAAUGGGGGAAACCCUGAUGCAGCGACGCCGCGUGAGUGAAGAAGUAAUUCGUUAUGUAAAGCUCUAUCAGCAGGGAAGAAAAUGACGGUACCUGAGUAAGAAGCCCCGGCUAACUACGUGCCAGGAGCCGCGGGAAUACGUAGGGCGCAAGCGUUAUCUGGUUUUACUGGGUGUAAAGGGAGCGUAGACGGGAGUGCAAGUCUGGAGUGAAAGGUGGGGGGUCAACCCCCGGACUGCUCUGGAUACUGUACGGCUGGAGUGCGAGAGAGGUAAGUGGAAUUCCAAGUGAAGCGGUGAAAUGCGUAGAUAUAAGGAAGAACACCAGUGGCGAAGGCAGCUUACUGGACUGAAACUGACGUUGAGGCUCGAAAGCGUGGGGAGCAAACAGGAUUAGAUACCCGAGUAGUC